rnacentral:lncRNA from 1 species
ACUGCUGGAUAAUUGGAAAGUCCUUGUGUGUCAACCUCUGUGCUUCGUGGCAAGGUAGACUAGCAAACAUGCCCAACCUUUACUCACAUUCGAGAAAACACUCCCAACAAGAUUGCUUGCUCCAAAAUCGAAGAGGCACCGUCCUCCGAAUCUCGAGAGCCAGACUCCCAACAUGACUACUUUCUCAAAAAUCGAAGAGAGGGUAAAGAAACAGUACCAUUGCUGGAUAAUUGGAAAGUCCCUGUGUGUCAACCUCUGUGCUUCGUGGCAAGGUAGACUAGCAAACAUGCCCAACCUUUACUCACAUUCGAGAAAACACUCCCAACAAGAUUGCUUGCUCCAAAAUCGAAGAGGCACCGCCCUCCGAAUCUCGAGAGCCAGACUCCCAACAUGAUUACUUUCUCAAAAAUCGAAGAGACAUCGUUCUCCGAAUCUCGAGAGCCAGAUCCCUGAUAGGAUUGCUUGUUCGAAAACCGAAGAGGCAACACUUUCCCAACUACAAGAGCCGGAUCUCCUUGGAUAAAGUUGUCUGUAAUCUUCACACGCAACAUCAGCUUUCCACAUACCACAGACCACUUUUUCAAAGUGCUCUGACAGGGGUAAAAGGAAUAGCAUUACUACUUGUUGUUAAGGAGACUCCUAUAUAUGUCAACCUCCAUCCCCAACGGACAGACAGACCUGCAAAAAUGCUCAACCCUUCCUCAUAUAUGAGAGGGCACUCUCAACGAAGCCUUUCGAAAUAUUCAGCUUUCUUUCCCCCCGAUAAUACCUCUGCAAACAAGUUAUACUAGAGCAAGAAUAUCUCAUAUCAUCAGGGUUAAAAGCAAGAGUAUCCCAUAUCAUGCUUUUUCCCUGUCUUUUCCUUUGGCCUUGUUCUUACCUGCAAGACAAGGAGAAAGAGAGCAAUCAGUCAGCACUUGGAAUCAAGCUUCCAGCCAGGAACUGACUGCCUGGAACUUACUUACCUGGCAUUGCUCUCGAGUACUCAUCUUCAACAUCUUAUGCUUCCAGGGAAGAUACCGCAUCUGCCUGAGGAACAGAUAGGGCAAGUGAGAAGGAUACAAGGAAGCAUGUGGAGACAAGCGUAACAGCACACGUGCCGAUACAUCCAUUACUCUGUCAAAGCAAAAAGUAUCCCAUAUCAGUAGGGUCGAACGUACUCUAGAUUUGAUGGACUUGUUUUGACCCUCAAAUUCUUCAGUCGGCCUUAUACUCUGGAGGAAACCAGAAAACCCUCCAGCUCAGUUCAAGAAUAAGCCUGUGGAAAGUUACUUCUUCAAAAGCAAAAGUAUCCCAUAUCAUCUCUUCUCAUUUUUCUUCUCUUUAUCCUUCAUGCUGCCUGCAAGAUAGGGAGAAUGUGAACAAUCAGCCGGAGCUCUGAUUGCUUACCUUGUCUGUCACCUCUUUCAGCAAAUCCCCUAGCUCGGCAACUUGAGGGACUCCUACUACAUGGUUUGUAUCGCGCUUGACCAAGCCUGAAACUACAAGUAAGCUUCAAGUGAAAUUGAUACAUUACCUUGUGCAUCUCCACCAGUUAAAGAUACCACCCCUGGAUGGAGGAAGAGUACUUCCAGAGAAGAUGCCACAUCUACCUAUGAGACAGAUAAGGCAAGUCAAGACGAUACCACAUUCCGAUACUUAGAAGUUUCGUGAUUACGAGAUCAUUCUCCCACAAUAUUUCCUAAUGUCAUUUGUACUAAAUCAUUCACCUGUACUCACUAAAGGAAAGCUUGAACCUAUGUACUUGUGUAAACCCUUCACAAUUAAUGAGAACUCCUCUAUUCCGUGGACGUAGCCAAUCUGGGUGAACCACGUACAUCUUGUGUUUGCUUUCCUAUCUAUAUCCAUUUUAUAUACUUAUCCACACUAAUGAUCGGAGCAAUCUAGCGAAGAUCACAAAAAAGCGACCGUUUUCGCUACCUAGGAUAUAUCGUGCAAGAGAACGGAGAAUUAGAGAGAGAUCUCAACCAUAGAAUAGAAGUUGGAUAGAUGAAGUGUAAGAGUGCAUCCGGCGGGUUGUGUGACCGUCGUAGGCCACUGAAGCUCAAGGGAAAAUUUUAUAGGACGGCAAUAAGGCCAGCGAUGUUGUAUGACACAGAAUGUUGGGCGGUGAAGCAUCAACACAUACACAAAAUGGGUGUGGCGGAGACGAGGAUGCUUCGUGGGAUGUGUGGGCACACAAGAAAUGAUAAGAUUGGAAAUGAGGAUAUUCGAGGUAAAGUAGGAGUGGCCGAAAUUGAAGGAAAGAUGAGAGAAAAUCGGUUCCGGUGAUUUGGACAUGUGCAAAGAAGGCCUACUGACGCUCCGGUUCGAAGAUGUGACUACGGGACAGAGGUUCAGGGCCAAAGGGGUAGAGGAAGACCUAGGAAAACUUUGGAAGAGACUCUAAGAAAAGACUUAGAGUACUUGGUUCUAACGGAGGACAUGACACAAAACCGAGCGCAAUGGCGUUCUAGGAUUCAUAUAGCCGACCCCACUUAGUGGGAAAAGGCUUUGUUGUUGUUGUUGUUGUUGUGUGGCGUGUUUACUAAACUGUUCAUAUAUUCGCAUGGCAUCAUCUUAUAAGUUUGCAUAACACCGGAGACUAUCAAUAAACAUGAUCAACUAAGGGGGAUUAAAAUCAACACCUUGUGCCUCCAAACCCAUAUAAAAUAACACCAUUCUCACAAUUGCCUAUCAAGGAAAUAGUUAAAUUCACAGAAAGCCGUCUAGUUGAAAUUUGAUAAGCAAAAACCAUAACCAAAUGCAACCAAAGAUCGAGCAGGAGAGUAUCUCAAACCUGAAGAACCAGCGCCCAAUUGUAAAGUGCAUCAUAAUCAUGUGGGUUUCUUUCUAUUGCACUAGCAUACCUACAAAAUUUAUGUACAAAUAAGAAUUCCGGGAAAGCAAGACACCUAAAAGACAUUGUGCGGUUGCAAACAUCGCAAAGUACCGUAAAAGAAACAAAGAAAAGAGAAGUAUGAUCAUGCACGUUACAAAGAACUCAAACUUUGUUUCAGUAGAGGCAAGCUGACAAGUCAAGACAAAGAAGGUAUCGGGAGCCUUGUUUUUUAAACAUUUUCAAAAUUUUAUAGAGAUUUAAAUGGACACGUGGGCAGGGAGACAGGCAACUAUGGAGGUUUUCAUGGUGGCCAUGGUUUUGGGGAGAGAAACGAGGAUGGGGAAGCUAUCUUGGAUUUUGCAAUGGCAUAUGAUCUCUUCUUAGCCAACACCUUCUUUAAGAAGAGAGAAGAACAUGUGAUCACCUACAAGAGUGGGUCGUCAAAAACACAAAUAGAUUUUCUUCUAAUGAGGAAAGGGGAUCGUAUAACUUGUAAGGAUUGCAAAGUUAUACCAGGAGAGAGCGUGGCUAAUCAACAUCGCUUGUUGGUGAUGGAUGUACAUAUCAAAAGAGUAAGACAAAAGAACAAGACUUGGAAGUGCCCAAGGACUAGAUGGUGGAAUCUAAAAGAAGAAAAAACAAGCCAUUUUCAAAGAGAAGGUAAUCACCCAAUGUGUGUGGGAUAGAGAGGGGGAAGCUAGCCAAAUGUGGGAUUCCAUGGCUAGUUGUAUCCGAAAAGUAGCAAAAGAGGUAUUAGGAGAGUCCAAGGGCUUUGCCCCACACCAAAAGGAAUCUUGGUGGUGGAAUGAGGAGGUACAAACAAAGGUGAAGGCUAAGAAGGAAUGUUGUAAAGCCUUAUACAAGGAGAGGACCGAUGAAAAUGGUGAAAGGUAUAGAAAAGCGAAGCAAGAGGCGAAGAAAGCUGUCAGAGAAGCUAAGUUAGCGGCUUACGACGAUAUGUAUAAACGACUAGAUACCAAAGAAGGAGAGUUGGAUAUCUAUAAACUAUCUAGAGCAAGGGAAAAGAAGACAAGGGACCUAAACCAAGUGAGGUGCAUCAAGGAUGAGGAUGGAAAGGUUCUUGCUACAGAGAACGCGGUUAAAGACAGAUGGAGAGGUUAUUUUCAUAAUCUUUUCAAUGAAGGACAUGAAAUGAGUGCUUCUUUAGGGGAGUUGAGUAACUCAGAAGAGUGUAGAAACUACUCUUUUUAUCGUCGAAUCCGGAAGGAAGAAGUGGUUGUAGCUUUGAAGAAGAUGAAGCAUAAAAAAGCAAUAGGCCCAGACGAUAUACCAAUCGAAGUGUGGAAACUUUUGGGAGAGACAGGUAUAACAUGGCUCACUGACCUUUUCAAUAGGAUUUUGAAAACGAAGAAGAUGCCAAAUGAGUGGCGAACGAGCACUUUGGUGCCUAUCUACAAGAAUAAGGGCGACGUACAAAAUUGCAUGAACUAUAGGGGUAUUAAGCUAAUGAGUCAUACAAUGAAGCUCUGGGAGAGAGUCAUUGAGCAUAGAUUGAGGCAAGAGACACGGGUUUCGGACAACCAAUUCGGGUUCAUGCCAGGGCGCUCAACCAUGGAGGCAAUCUAUCUCUUACGAAGAUUGAUGGAAAGAUAUAGAGAUGGGAAAAAGGAUUUACACAUGGUCUUUAUAGAUUUGGAAAAAGCGUAUGAUAGGGUCCCAAGAGACAUUCUUUGGAGGAUUUUAGAGAAGAAAGGAGUACGAGUAGCAUAUAUCCAAGCUAUAAAGGAUAUGUAUGAAGGAGCAAAGACUGCCGUAAGAACUCAUGAAGGACAAACCGAAAGCUUUCCCAUAACUGUAGGAUUACAUCAAGGCUCAUCCUUAAGUCCUUACCUUUUUGCGUUGGUAAUGGAUGAGUUAACAGGACAUAUUCAAGAUGAUAUUCCUUGGUGUAUGCUUUUCGCAGACGAUAUAGUGUUGAUAGAUGAAACUCAGGAAGGGGUAAAUGCAAAGCUUAACCUUUGGAGAGAAGUGUUGGAAUCUAAAGGUCUUCGCCUAAGCCGAUCAAAGACAGAAUAUAUGGAGUGCAAGUUCAGUGCAAAUGGAGGCCAAAACGAGUUAGGGGUGAGGAUCGGAGAUCAAGAAAUACCAAAGAGCGACCGUUUUCGUUACCUAGGAUCUAUCUUGCAAAAGAACGGAGAAUUAGAUGGAGAUCUCAACCAUAGAAUACAAGCUGGAUGGAUGAAGUGGAAGAGUGCAUCCGGCGUGUUGUGUGACCGCCGUAUGCCACUGAAGCUCAAGGGAAAAUUUUAUAGGACGGCAAUAAGGCCGGCGAUGCUGUAUGGCACAGAAUGUUGGGCGGUGAAACAUCAACACGUACACAAAAUGGGUGUAGCGGAGAUGAGGAUGCUUCGUUGGAUGUGUGGGCACACGAGAAAGGAUAAGAUUAGGAAUGAGGAUAUCCGGGGUAAAGUAGGAGUAGCCGAAAUUGAAGGAAAGAUGAGAGAAAAUCGGUUACGGUGGUUUGGACAUGUGCAAAGAAGGCCUACUGACGCUCCGAUUAGAAGAUGCGACUAUGGGACAGAGGUUCAGGGCCGAAGGGGUAGAGGAAGACCUAGGAAAACUUUGGAAGAGACUCUAAGAAAAGACUUAGAGUACUUGGAUCUAACGAAGGACAUGACACAGGAUCGAGCACAAUGGCGUUCUAAGAUUCAUAUAGCCGAUCCCACUCAGUGACUUGGAUUUUCCAAGUCUCCAACCGAGAAGUUUUCCUCACUCGGGAAAUUAAGGGAACACUACCCCAACCUACAUGCUCCACUCAGAAAGCUUCAACAUACAAGCUUCAACAAAAGAAAAUUCAAAGAACUUAGCGAAGAAGGCUUUGGUGUAUUUAACACAAUACGUUGAAAUGAAGGAAAGCUUAUUUAUUGAUAUCCCCGAUAAGCUACAAAUAUGUACAUAUACAUGAGUCAAAAUAAACACACAAGAGGGAGCCUUCACAAAGGUUGCUUAGGAGAAGUCUCAGCAGUCGGUAGAGCCCCAGAAAGAGAAGGCACCGGAGGGGGAUCAUUUGGAGCCUCAGUACUGGACAGAACCCUAGAAGGAGGAGGCAUCAGAGGUUGAUCAUUUGGAGCUUCAUUACGCGCGGUACAGCCCCAGAAGACGAAGGCAAUAAAUGCCUUUGGAACAAACCCACAAAUCUCUGAUGAUCAAGUAAAACCUGACCAUCAGUUUCCUUCAUCUGGUCAAGCUUCCUCUUCAUGUUUGUAGCAUAGUCAUGUGCGAGCCGGUGCAACUGUUUAUUCUCAUGCUUGAGCCCUCUAAUCUCCUGUUUGAGACUCAUCACUUCAGCCGCCAAUGAUUCAACUUGGCGGGUUCGAGCAAAUAGGCGUUGGGCCAUAUUAGACACAGAACCUGCACACUGAACACUGAGAGCCAGCGAAUCCUUAACAGCUAACUCAUCAGACCGUUUGGAAAGUAGUCUGUUAUCUUUGGGAGUGAGAAGGUUCCUGGCCACCACCGCAGCGGUCAUAUCAUUCUUCAUCACGGAAUCCCCAACGGUAAGAGGACCAGUAGGGGAGACGAAGGAUGGGCGCCAUAUGUUGUCUGGAGAAGGCGGGGCUGCCUCUUCAACAAGGUUCAAGUCAAAACGACGGUCGGAGGGGCCAGACAUUUUCAAAGGUGUUGAAGAGAGAAGAGGUCGGACAAAUCAAGAUCUUAGAAGUGCAAGAAUGAAGCUUCUACUGGUGGAGAUUCAAGUGUGCUUUGGAACUUAAUGCCAGCCCCUAUAAAAAAUCUGCACUCGACGGAGCUUCAGAAAUCGAAGAGGCGCCUGCUCAGAAAUCGAAGAGGCGUUUGCUUUCUCAAAAGCUGGGCUGCUUAGAGAUCACGAGGGUUGAUCUCAGAAAUCGAAGAGGCGUUUGCUUUCUCAAAAGUUGGGCUGCUCAAAGACCACGAAGGCCGAUCUCAGAAAUCGAAGAGGCGCUCGCUUUCUCAAAAGCUGGGCUCCCCAGAGACCACGAGGGCCGAUCUCAGAAAUCGAAGAGGCACCUACUUUUCCAGCCUUGUCAGCACCUGUCACACGCACACUCAGCUUUGCGGAAAUUAUGGGCAUUCUGUCGAAGACUUCUGGGGAAGUAGAAAACACAUGAAUCUUACUGUUCAAUCACCCACUUCCCACACGCAACAAUAGCUCAUGGGUACCACAGAUAACUUUGCCAAAGUUCUCUGCCAAAGUUGAGCACGUGAAGCUUGCAGCUCCCACUACAUCGCUCUGACCAAGAAGGGUAAAAGAAUAGCAAAGAAACAGCACUAACAAAGUUUAGACCCAUAAAUUUUGAAGGUCUAGCUACCAUAUUAUUACCCACAAGGGUAAAGGAACAGUACCACUGCUGGAUAAUUGGAAAGUCCCUGUGUGUCAACCUCUGUGCUUCGUGGCAAGGUAGACUAGCAAACAUGCCCAACCUUUACUCACAUUCGAGAGAAAACACUCCCAAUAAGAUUGCUUGCUCCAAAAUCGAAGAGGCACCGUCCUCCGAAUCUCGAGAGCCAGACUCCCAACAUGACUACUUUCUUAAAAAUCGAAGAGAGGGUAAAGGAACAGUACCAUUGCUGGAUAAUUGGAAAGUCCCUGUGUGUCAACCUCUGUGCUUCGUGGCAAGGUAGACUAGCAAACAUGCCCAACCUUUACUCACAUUCGAGAAAACACUCCCAACAAGAUUGCUUGCUCCAAAAUCGAAGAGGCACCGCCCUCCGAAUCUCGAGAGCCAGACUCCC